rnacentral:rRNA from 1 species
UAAACUAGGAUUAGAUACCCUAUUAUUGAGAAUAAUAAAUUGUAAGUAAAUAUAAAUUACGAAAGCAAAAAAUUAUGGCGGUAUCUUAAGCUUUUCAGAGGAAUUUGCUCUUUAAUGGAUAAAACACCCAAAUCUUACUUAGAUUGGUUACAAUCAGUUUGUAUACCACUAUAAAAAUAAUAAUUUACUUUUAUUAUUUCUCUUCUUUAAAGAAAUAAAUUAAGUCAAGGUGCAGCUAAAAUUUAAGGUUGAAGUGAAUCACAUUUCUUUAAAGAAAUAAAACAAUGAAAUAAAAUAUAGGAUUUGAUAGUGAAAUUAAAAUAGAAAGUUAAUUGAAUAAGG